UUGUAUCGGUUAUAACGUUAAAGCACACAGACGAUUGUUUGAAAAAUUUUAAAAUUUCAGAAGCUCGUGAGUUUUAACAUUUUUGCAAAAAUGAUGAAUAAAAUUCCGCUAAUUCUUUGCGUUUCAUUAUUUCUCAUGAUAAUGGCGAGUGCUGAUAUAGAUCUCGAUUACUGUACACCAUUGGGUCAUAAGUGUAAGGAAGAAAUUUCAUGCUGCCAAAAUGAAACAUCUCAGAAUUUGGGAUCUGAGACAUUUUCCAGCAUUGACUGUAAUUAUAGAGUUGAGAACUCGGCACGGAUAUGUGUGGAAAUUAUUCAUUAUUAUACUUAAGUGACACUUGUUGAUUAUAAUAAUCAAAUAUGUUUACAUGUUUUCUUAAACAAUAAACAUUUGUUUGAAUAAUUCAAA